GAGGGUACAGCUCAGUGGUAGAGCUUGUGCUUAGCAUGCACGAAGUUCUGGGUGCAAUUCCCAGUACCUCCA
rfam:Camelus ferus unplaced genomic scaffold scaffold661, whole genome shotgun sequence.